CAUGUAUGCUCAGCUUGAGGAGGAGUGUUAGAAUAAAGAAAAUAUGUAGAUAUUCUAUGAACUUUACAUCUUCCUAGAUUAGUUAUUAAUAGUCCUAGUCUCCCCAACUAACUAGGCUUCCUUAGUUAUUAAUAGUCCUAGUCUCCCCAACUAACUGGGCUUCCUUGUAUUUAUUGUAUCUACAUUAUAAAUACAUAGAGUGUGUGAUCUGGUUGGACACACAAAAUUCACAUAAUUUAAUAAUAAUCUUGCCUAAGCUUUCAGAGAAGAAUCGAGAAGCAUGAAUGCCGAAAUGUUCAAAUUUAAGUUCAGAGAAAAAGAGAUCACAGAGGCACUCAUCUCCAA
rnacentral:lncRNA from 1 species